rnacentral:rRNA from 1 species
GACGAACCGUGCGAACGUUGUUCGGAAUCACUGGGCUUAAAGGGCGCGUAGGCGGGCCUCCCAGUCCGGGGUGAAAGCUUUCGGCUUAACCGGAAAAGUGCCUUGGAUACUGGAGGCCUGGAGGGGGGUAGGGCAGCCGGAACUCCGGUGGAGCGGUGAAAUGCGUUGAUAUCGGAAGGAACGCCGGUGGCGAAAGCGGGCUGCUGGACCUCUACUGACGCUGAGGCGCGAAAGCCAGGGGAGGCGAA